ACGAGAUUGAUGGAUUGAAAGAGCACAUUUGCAGCAGGGAGGGAAAAAUCCCCGCCAAUGCUUGCGUUAAGGGGCAGUGAUGCACCCAGGUAAUUCACCUGCAGAUCAUUGUGCUAUUGCUAUAUGAUUCGGAAGUAAAAUCAUGGAGGUUGUAGAUUGAUGCAUAUAAUUAGAAUUGUCAGCUACUAAGUCUAUGUUAAUAGUACAUUAGACAGAAACCCAGCGACCAAUCACCUCUUUUAACUUCAAUUUUUUCAUUGUAAGA
rnacentral:misc_RNA from 1 species